GGCACUACACAGCAAAAGUCUACCAAUAAAACAGAAACAAUAUCCUUUAAAAAAGGAAGAAAGAAAAGUACUAAAGGUUAGGGUUAGACCUAUGGAGUGGAAAGAACGAACAAAAAACCAGGGGGGAAAGUACAUCAAGGUCAUCAUGGAAGAAGAGCCUCCCAGACUUCUGAUGCAAGAGACUGAUGGGUACAACGGCAUCAUUCUAAUGGCUAAAGAAGCCUUGUGGAAUAAUCCACAAAUGAAAGAAGGAACAUUCACUCUUUGCCAUGCGGAUGGUACUCGGUGGCCUAUAGAGGAUUUUGAAAAGGAACAUGCAAGCCUUAGUGAGAUUAAGGAUGUCUGGAAAAAAACCUUCUACAUUGGACGCAGACCCAUAGGAAGAAGUUAGCGGUUUGGAACACUCAAUUGCAGAACAAAAAAGGAACCGCAAAACAAACUAUGUGGAAGAGGCAAGUAUUGCAUUUCUUCAAAACACACAUUUUAAUCAUUGUAUCAAGACA